rnacentral:rRNA from 1 species
UACAGAGGGGGCAAGCGUUGUUCGGAAUUACUGGGCGUAAAGGGCGCGUAGGCGGCCCGCUAAGUCGAACGUGAAAUCCCCGGGCUCAACCCGGGAACUGCGUCCGAUACUGGCAGGCUUGAAUCCGGGAGAGGGAUGCGGAAUUCCAGGUGUAGCGGUGAAAUGCGUAGAUAUCUGGAGGAACACCGGUGGCGAAGGCGGCAUCCUGGACCGGCAUUGACGCUGAGACGCGAAAGCGUGGGGAGCAAACAGG